rnacentral:rRNA from 1 species
UGUGACAUACCUAUACGUUGCCUCGGCGGAUCAGCCCGCGCCCCGUAAAAAGGGACGGCCCGCCCGAGGACCCCUAAACUCUGUUUUUAGUGGAACUUCUGAGUAAAACAAACAAAUAAAUCAAAACUUUCAACAACGGAUCUCUUGGUUCUGGCAUCGAUGAAGAACGCAGCAAAAUGCGAUAAGUAAUGUGAAUUGCAGAAUUCAGUGAAUCAUCGAAUCUUUGAACGCACAUUGCGCCCGCCAGUAUUCUGGCGGGCAUGCCUGUUCGAGCGUCAUUUCAACCCUCAAGCUCAGCUUGGUGUUGGGACUCGCGGUAACCCGCGUUCCCCAAAUCGAUUGGCGGUCACGUCGAGCUUCCAUAGCGUAGUAAUCAUACACCUCGUUACUGGUAAUCGUCGCGGCCACGCCGUAAAACCCCAACUUCUGAAUGUUGACCUCGGAUCAGGUAGGAAUACCCGCUGAACUUAAGCAUAUCA